UCGGUUAGAGCAAAGCCC
rnacentral:snRNA from 1 species